GGUAGGGUAGCCGAGGUAGGCAGUGGGUUGUAGCCCCAAAGACAGAGGUUUGAGUCCUCUUCCUAUCA
rnacentral:tRNA from 1 species